rnacentral:rRNA from 1 species
UGAAUACGAGAUGCUACGGCGUCGAAGCAGUCUAUGUCAUACUUCCAAGAAAAGCUCGCACUGUCAUAAACAAAUAAUGCCUGUACCAUAACCGACACAGGUGGGUAGGUAGAGUAUACUAAGGGGCGCGAGAUAACUCUCUCUAAGGAACUCGGCAAAAUGACUCCGUAACUUCGGGAGAAGGAGUGCCUUAUUUAUAAGGUUGCAAUAACAAGAUCCAAGCAACUGUUUAUCAAAAACACAGGUCUCCGCUAAGUCGUAAGACGAUGUAUGGGGGCUGACGCCUGCCCAGUGCCAGAAGGUUAAAGAAGUUGGUUAGCAUUCGCGGAGCUGAUAACUGAAGCCCUGGUGAACGGCGGCCGUAACGAUAACGGUCCUAAGGUAGCGAAAUUCCUUGUCGGGUAAGUUCCGACCCGCACGAAAGGCGUAAUGAUUUGGAUACUGUCUCGGUGAGGGGCUCGGUGAAAUAGACUUGUCUGUGAAGAUGCGGACUACCUGCACCAGGACAGAAAGACCCUAUGAAGCUUUACUGUAACUUGAGAUUGAAAUUGGACUUUACUUGCGCAGUAUAGGUGGGAGGCGUUGAUAAUAUUCUUGCGGGAUUAUUUGAGCCAUCAGUGAGAUACCACUCUUGUAAUGUUAGAUUUCUAACUUUGUAUCAUUAUCUGGUCAAAGGACAGUUUCAGGCGGGCAGUUUGACUGGGGCGGUCGCCUCCUAAACGGUAACGGAGGCGCACAAAGGUUUCCUCUGAACGGGUAGAAAUCGUAUCUAGAGUGUAAAGGCAUAAGGAAGCUUGACUGUGAGACCUACAAGUCGAGCAGGGACGAAAGUCGGUCUUAGUGAUCUGACGGUGCUGAGUGGAAAGGCCGUCACUCAACGGAUAAAAGUUACUCUAAGGAUAACAGGCUGAUCUCCCCCAAGAGUUCACAUCGACGGGGAGGUUUGGCACCUCGAUGUCGGCUCAUCGCAUCCUGGGGCGGUAGUACGUCCCAAGGGUUGGGCUGUUCGCCCAUGAAAGCGGUACGCGAGCUGGGUUCAGAACGUCGUGAGACAGUUCGGUCCAUAUCCGGUGUAGGCGUUAGAAUAUUGAGAGGAGCCUUCUUUAGUACGAGAGGACCGAGAAGGACAUACCUCUGGUGUACCAGUUAUCGUGCCAACGGUAAACGCUGGGUAGCUAUGUAUGGAGUGGAUAACCGCUGAAAGCAUCUAAGUGGGAAGCCCACCUCAAGAUAAG